UACGUAGGGUGCAAGCGUUGUCCGGAAUUAUUGGGCGUAAAGAGCUCGUAGGCGGUUUGUCGCGUCUGCUGUGAAAACCCGAGGCUCAACCUCGGGCCUGCAGUGGGUACGGGCAGACUAGAGUGCGGUAGGGGAGAUUGGAAUUCCUGGUGUAGCGGUGGAAUGCGCAGAUAUCAGGAGGAACACCGAUGGCGAAGGCAGAUCUCUGGGCCGUAACUGACGCUGAGGAGCGAAAGCGUGGGGAGCGAACAGGAUAGAAACCCCAGU
rnacentral:rRNA from 1 species